AUGGAAUCGUGCCAAAAAAUGAUGAAAUAAAAUACAACAUAAUAGAAUACAAUACAAUAGGAAAAGGUACAAUAAAAUGCAAUAAAACAUACUAAGUAUUGGACGAUAUUUCAUAUAAUUACAAAGCCGAAUUGAAUACCGAAUAGGAUGUGCAUAUAGAAAAAGAACCAUGCAAAGUAUCAUAGAAGACUGAGUAUGUUAAUUACAAUAGAUCGAGUACAGUACAUAGAGUAGAAAAUAUUGAUCAAGGCAUGAAUUGAAUUGAUAAAAAAGUGAUGAAAAAAUCAAAUUGAAUAAACUAGAAUAGACUGCAAUAAUGAAACGGGAUAUGCGAUAAUUGAACGGGGGGAACUGAGAAUAGAAUUUAAUUAGAUGAACC